GCUGGGUGCAGUGGUGCACACCUGUAAUCCCAGCCACUCGGGAGGCUGAGGCAGGAGAAUCGCUUGCACCCGGGAGGUGGAGUUUGUGGUGAGCCAAGAACGCGUCACUGCACUCCAGCCUGGGUGAUAGAGUGAGAUUUUGUCUCAA
rfam:Gorilla gorilla gorilla genomic chromosome, chr17, whole genome shotgun sequence